GACGAACGCUGGCGGCGUGCUUAACACAUGCAAGUCGAACGGUAAGGCCCUUCGGGGUACACGAGUGGCGAACGGGUGAGUAACACGUGGGUGAUCUGCCCUGCACUUCGGGAUAAGCCUGGGAAACUGGGUCUAAUACCGGAUAGGAGCAAUCGCUGAAUGGGUGGUGGUGGAAAGCUGUUGCGGUGUGGGAUGGGCCCGCGGCCUAUCAGCUUGUGGGUGGGGGGAUGGCCUACCAAGGCGACGACGGGUAGCCGGCCUGAGAGGGUGACGGGCCACACUGGGACUGAGAUACGGCCCAGACUCCUACGGGAGGCAGCAGUGGGGAAUAUUGCACAAUGGGCGCAAGCCUGAUGCAGCGACGCCGCGUGAGGGAUGACAGCCUUCGGGUUGUAAACCUCUUUCAGCACCGACGAAGCGCAAGUGACGGUAGGUGCAGAAGAAGGACCGGCCAACUACGUGACAGCAGCCGCAGUAACAC
rnacentral:rRNA from 1 species